CUGGGGCCGGUGAGGGCUCUGAGGGGCCGCCCAGUGCUCAGGAGCCAGGGCUCUGCUGCUACUGGGGCCUGAGUGGGGCUGCAGCCCCAGCCUUGGCACCUGGAACAAGGGACAGCCACACAUGUGCCUGUCUGAGUCUGGGGCAGGGCUUAUGCAGGCCGGGCCCGGCCCUUGGCGGGUGUUCAGGGCCUGAUACUACCACCCUUAGGAGUGGGGCAGGCACCGGGCAGGUUUGUGAGAACUGCACCCACAUUUCCGCCACAGCUGGAAGAGGACGUGCCAACCGGAGUCCCACCAGGGGCGGGGGAUGGAAUUCUGCAUCCCUGGCCCCUCCCAGAUGGAGCCCUGGACACUGCGGAGGCUGAGCCUCAGUAUUCCCCAUGCCCCAGAGCUGUGCUGUCCCCCAGGCUGGGAGCUGGGGCAGAAGUCAACUCCAGCCUACAUGGGCCCAGCAGCUACCUCCAGAUGCCCCAAAACAGGUGCAAAGGGAUACCCAGCUGCUCAUGAAAAUGAAUCCCAGAUGGAGACAAAGAGCCCUGCCUGGCCCUGGCCUGGCGUGGCCGGAUGUCCCUUUCCACCUUCCUGCUCACAGAGGAGGCUGGGCUUCUGAGGCCUGAGGGGCCAGGCAGGAAGCCAUGGGCCACAAGGCACCCCUGGGCCCCCG